AUUGAACGCUGGCGGCAGGCCUAACACAUGCAAGUCGAACGAGUGGCGGACGGGUGAGUAAUGUCUGGGAAACUGCCCGAUGGAGGGGGAUAACUACUGGAAACGGUAGCUACUACCGCAUACCAUCGGAUGUGCCCAGAUGGGAUUAGCUAGUAGGUGGGGUAACGGCUCACCUAGGCGACGAUCCCUAGCUGGUCUGAGAGGCUGACCAGCCACACGGGAACGGAGACACGGUCCAGACGCCUACGGGAGGCAGCAGUGGGGAAUAUUGGACAAUGGGCGCAAGCCGGAUGCAGCCAUGCCGCGGGGAUGAAGAAGGCCUUCGGGUUGUAAAGUACGUUCAGCGGGGAGGCGUUACUCGCAGAAGAAGCACCGGCUAACUCCGUGCCAGCAGCCGCGGUAAUAC
rnacentral:rRNA from 1 species